UACAGAGGUCCCAAGCGUUGUUCGGAUUCAUUGGGCGUAAAGGGUGCGUAGGUGGCGCUGUAAGUCGGGUGUGAAAUUUCGGAGCUUAACUCCGAAACUGCAUUCGAUACUGCGGUGCUUGAGGACUGGAGAGGAGACUGGAAUUCAUGGUGUAGCAGUGAAAUGCGUAGAGAUCAUGAGGAAGACCAGUGGCGAAGGCGGGUCUCUGGACAGUUCCUGACACUGAGACACGAAGGCCAGGGGAGCGAACGGG
rnacentral:rRNA from 1 species